GGGGUGUCCCUGGAGAGGAUCGAGGAGGUCUUCAACAAGGGAUGCGAUGGAAGCUCAGUGGCCGAGGACGAGGGAGUUGCCAUGGCGAAUGUAGCUUCUCCAAAUGGUCACGUAAAAUCAUCCGAGUCAUGAUACCAUACUAUUCUGCUUCCCCAAGAUGAUAUAUAUAGAAAUGAAUAGAAAAUGACAAAGCCGAUGCUUGGCUGGCUUUUAUACUUGAAUUUAUCGGUGAAGGGUCGUUGGCUGCUCGU
rnacentral:lncRNA from 1 species